CUAAGAUAUUAUUUUGAAUAUGCUUUGCAUGAAACCAUUUGUUAUUACCAUCAAAGAAUAAUAAAAAUGACACUGCCAUUCUGAGCAAACAAAACUUUGAAAGCAUAGCAAUUAGUAAAAAUUAGGUCAUCUCUAGCAGAAUCCCAAAAACAUACCUGAAAACGAUUUUAUUAAAAAGAGGGAGAAAGAAAGAGAGAGAAAGGGGUGGGGAAAAGUAAUUUUAAAAGAUUACACAAAAAAGCAUGCUUGUGUCUUUUAUUCAGAGAAAUGAAAAUUUUAAGUGAAUGCUUCUGAAAACUGUCACUACAACGUUAUAUAUGUAAUUAUUUAACACACACUCUCAUUAACUGAUCACCCAGGCAGUCAAUCAAGAUUUCUCUAACAUAUUCUCCGAGCGUCUAAAGUCAAUUCCCAACAUUUCCACAAAUAGCAAAAGCAGUCUUUUAUAUCCUGGACCAUUUUCUAUUAUCAAAGUACUACCAGCAGGAGAAAAAAUUCUUCAUUUGUCCUAUAACAACUACAUAAAGAAAUUAAAUUAGUGAAAAGUUUUAAUUUUUUGCUCCCUCUCGGCGUAAAUAUUAAGAGGAUAUCUACUUUGUAAAUUUGGGCUUAGGGCAUUUGGUACCUCUAUAAACCUUAAGCAUUCACUGAAGAAUGAAAUUGUAUUGCUAUUCUACUCGAAUUUCUGCUUACAUUUUCAUUUUAUGUUUUUAUAAAUUUAUGCAUGUAGUUUGAAUAAAACAAUACUCAGUGUCCAAAACUCGAAAUGCUAGCAUUUAUCUGGAAAGUGAAGUCUUAAGAGCAAACUCAGAUCACUUUUUCUGUAUUUACACAAUGCCAUUAAUAUCUAAUUGAAAACUGAACCUCUAACUGCCACAAGUAAGUGGUUGUUUAAACAAAUAAAAUAUUUCAAAGUAAAUUAAAUAACUGAUGUAUUUCUUUUUAAGGUAAUCCUUUCUGGUAUAACAUGAAGUCAGCCUCGGACAUAAAUUACAUUUGUUAAAGUACAGACUCAUUUACGGACUUGCUCUGUUCUUCCAGGCCAGUUGGGUCCAGCAGCUUUGCCUCUCUACCCUUUCAUCACCAAAGUAUACUACUGAGAAAGAAUCAAAUGAAAAGAAAAAAGACUCAACAAGACUUCACUCGUAUUAACUGGACUCUACAAGCAGUGAGCAUCCAGACCUGCAUUCGGUUACAAAAGAAGCCUUCAAGCUAUUUUCAUCAGCUUCCUAAUCAAGUUAAAGAAUAAACCACAAAACUGAGUGUCCACUACCCUCUCUCUAUAUAUUCUAUAUAUAUAUGUAUAUAUUUGUAUUAAUAAAAUAUAUAUACAAGUAAAUUUAAAUUAUAUAUUACAAAAAAGAAUAAUUUUUAAAGAAUGAGCUAGAGAUGAAAUAAACUAUAUUAAAUGUCUUGCUAUUCACAAUAUCUUCAUACUAUUAUUAAACUAAUUUCCUUUUUUUUUUUUUUUUUUUUUUUCUUAAAGACAGUGUCUCCCUGUGUUGCCCAGGCUGCUUGCGAACUCCUGGGCUCAAGGGAUCCUCCUGUCUCAGCCUCCCAAAGUGCUAGGAUUAUAGGUGUGAGCCACCAUGCCUGGCCAUAAUUUCUCAAAGUACAAUAUAUCAUAAGGUAAAGGUUUGACAUUAAUGACAGUGAAUAUAGAUUCAUACUUCCUAUCAUCUUCAUGUUAAUUUUUAAACAUUUUGUCCAACUUAUCAGGUCUUAUUAGUCUGUGUUUUUAUUAGAUAGCCAACAAUUUUAUCCUGUAAUGUGAUUGAUGGGCACAAAGUAGGAAAAUGUGUGCAUCUGCCCCUUUCUUGUGUUUACAUCAUCGUCACUAUCUUGCAGAAUUUAAAACCUUUUAAAACAUGUGUCCAUUUGGCUAAACAUGUUAUAUGGAAGGAAUAAAUCCAUUUAACUAAGCAGAUAUAGAAUGCAAAAUGCUCAAAGUAAACAGUGAGGACACCACAGGUGAAACUGAUUUAGGAGACUGUGUGUAACUCAUGGCACACAAUCAUCAAAUCUACAGACCUCUGGCAGCAGGUGUUAAAUAUUUGACAAAGGUUUUUUUUCUCCUCCAAAAUAAAAAGGUAUAGUGUUCUAAACUCUCUUCCCAUACUGCCAGUACAUUAUUUUGGAGACCACUGCACUAAAAACUAGGUCCCUAGCACAUAGCUUCUCAAAAAAUGUUAUUUAUUGAGUAAAAGGUGUUUUUUUUUUUAAUGUUGUUCACAAUAUGUUUGAGGACCUUCAUGUAAACCACGAUCUGUCCCAAGUAAACAUUUUGAAGACAAAAACUGAGGGAGAAAAGGACUACUUAUUAUAAUAUCAAGUUUUCUUCAUAAGGGUCAUUACCUUCACUUUGUACCUUUAACACAUUUAUUCCUAGGUGUAACCAAUAGUUUUGUCAUUCUGUUGAAUAUUUUUGCUUGGUCAUUUCCAUUUUCAACUGAUGACUACUAAUAAAGAGAAAGCUAUUAGUUUGUGUACAUUUCUCACACAUGAGCUUUCCAAAGUGUCUUACAUUUAAUCCUCAUUGCUGUUUUCUACUAGAGUGCCCCUGGGCUUUCCAGCUAUUCUAUUGUAUCAUUUCAAAGUAGAAAUAAUUUUUUGUUUCCAAUAUUUAUGCCAAUUAUUUGACUUUCUGUCUACUGUCUUACUGCAAUGGCUAGAACUACCAAAACAAUGCUUAAUAAUAGUGACAAUCAUGUAAAUGAUGACAGGAAGUAUUAGUCUGGUUUCUGAUAUAAUGGAAAUGGCUUUAGCAUUUCAUCAUUUAGUAUAUGAUGUUUGCUUUCUGGUUUUUGGCAAACUAUAAGAGCUUAAGUUUCUGUUUAUUUCAAUGUUAUUAGUUUUUUAAAACGAGAAAUGGCUAUUUAUAAAUGUACAUUUUGCUUCCAAUGGGACAAUAAUCUGAGGUUUCCUUUAAUAAUGAAUAUAUUCAUAGAACUCAGGUGAAAUUAACUCUACUUGGUAAUUAUAUAAUUUUUCUUUUUGAUAGCUUACUGGGUUAGAUGUGCUUUAAGUUAUAGUUAUUUGCAACUACAGUAUUUUAUUUAGUAAAAUUGGCUUAUUUUCUUUUUGGAGUUUCUGUUAGAUUUCUAUCUUAAGGUUUUGAAAGUUUAUAACAUUAAUAUACUUAAUGUUAAAUUUUAAUAGUUUGAGGCUGCACUGUCCAAUAGUAGCUAGUAGUCACAUGGGGCUAUUUAAAUAUUAAUUAAAAUAAAAAACACUUAAUUCUUCACACUAGCCACAUUCAAUUGCUCAAUUGCUACCAUACUGAAUAACAUAUAUGUCAUACCCAAGACAGAGAAAAAUCUCUACCUCUUUCUCAGCUUUAAAAUACUAAGUUUUUUUCAAUUCCUGUUGUUAGUGCUAUUGAAGUUACUCAAGUCAAGACUUCCACAUAUGUCCUUGAAGAACUAAGAAAAUAUUCCUAAAGCAAACCAUUCUUCACUCAUCUGAAACAAGGAGGAAUAAUCAUACAAAUAAAACAUUUUUUAUGCAAUAGUAAAGAAACAAGUCCUUUAAUUUACUGGCUACAAAGCUAUCUUUAUACAGUAAGCCAUGCAUAACACUCAUACCAAAAAUAAAUAAAUAAAUAAAACCUCUUAUGCAACAAACAUCCCUGAAACAUGACAGAUCCUUCAUUAAGUUUCAAGCUCCUUUUCAUUCACUUCUAAGACAUUUUGAUAUUUAUGGGCAAAUUUGACCUCUGGUUUUAUUAUAAAUGACAGUAAUACUGAAAAAAAAAAAAAAAGCAAGCUGAUAUUCUAGUGACUUUAUUUCAAACUGAGAAAGGUUAAAAUCUAAAAGAAUUUGUUUAGGAAGCAAGAAUAUUUUUAAAUUCUCUUACUAAACUCUGAUGUAUUGCCAUCAAAUAAGCCAAUUAUGGAAAAUUAGAAGAAUACCCGCAGAGCAAACCCAUAUCCUUUGUUAAAAGCAGACAAAGUACCAGCAUAUCUUAAGGAAGAGCCUUUUAUGUUUUCAGAUUAUCUCUAUUAGAAAGUUUCUUCUUAAACUUCAAAAUAUUGUUUUUAAAUAAACAAAACUCUCCCUGUUGUUUAAUUUUUUACAUUGAAAAUUUGCGUCCAAAUCAUUUAUAAGAACAGUCAACAAAAUAUUUUCCUUCUUUAAAAUUUUUAAUCACAACUGCUGUAGGAAAUGAUUCAUUAUCUAUUUAAACUCACAAAUAAAGCUUUAUGUUCAUUUUAAUUAAAAUUGCCAUUUAUUACAAGUGUUUAAAAUCUGAAAUUCAAGCCUCUUUUCUAGACAACUGAUUCACAUUUCACAAUAUUUCUUCAUUUGAAAGGAUGCUUUAAAACAUUACCUGCCCUGAAGGAAUAUACUUUUAAUAUUCCUUUCAUAAUUCUUCAUUCUCAAAAAUUCAGCUAUUAUUGAUAAGGAUAUCAAAGUUGACAAGACUAUGUCAGAUGUCAAAAAUUAUUGGUUCAGUAUUUUAAAUCUAUUAACUACAAAGGUCUACCUCCAUGAAAAAACCAAAGUUCCUAAUUUUAAUCUUUGUUUCUUCUCAAUCACAAUAAUGUACACCACAUACAAUUCCAUUUGUAUUGGUUAAGGGAGGGAAAUUGGGUUGGGAGCAAAUGAAAUAUUACCUAACAAACAGUAAACGAAACACUAGCUCUUGUGUGAAAUCUUGGGAAGAUUUUUAUUUUCAUCGAAAUCUUAAUUUACCUUUCAUUUUCAAGUUAAUCUGCUUAUCUCCUUAAGAAGUGCGUUUGUGUCAAAUCAGAAUCAUUCCUUUUCGCACUGCUUUCUCUCUUAAUGAACAGUAACCUGAUUUCUAUUGUUCUGCCUGGUUAACGCAUGCUUCCUCUCUGGGCCCCUGUUUACCUCAAGGUGGAGGGGCACUGCUCUACAAGGGUGUCCAUCUUGGGAGGGAAAUGAAGUAGUUCACCUAUAUCAUGAUUUAAGUUGUCUGCAGGAAAAAUGUUAUGUGGCUCUUUAGUCCUUCAAGAUGAUCAGGGGACACAGUAUUAUAGAUUUGAUGUAACCUUCCCCGUUUCUGAAAGACAGUUAACAAAAUUCAGUCUUUCAAAUGUAUGUCGCCUACUCUGCACCAGACACUACAUACUAGGGAAGAAUACAAAGAUCUGAGAUAUGGUAUCUGCAGUCUCCAAGGACAUUUACAAAUAACUAACAUGCACCAGGAAAUUAUAAGUAUUCCAAGAGCUGUGAGUUCAGGAAAGAUUACAUUCAGCUACAACUGGAGCUGGGGAAAGAGAAGAGUUCAGUGAUAACUUCAUAAAGGAUUGCAAACAUAGGACAGGGCAGGGACUAUUGGCAAGGGGAAAGCAGGGAAAGAAGAACUACAAGCCUCAAGAGUAUGUUAUAACUUCUCUAGGGCACAGAGCAUACUGCAAAAAAGGCUUUGACUUUAGUCAAGAUAUUUAUAAUCAAACAUGUUAAACUUAAUGCACCAAUGUUUUACUUCUGAAAUCAAUCAUUCAGUCUAACCACAAGAAAUUAGUGUACAAGGAAAAUUAAUAAAUUGAAGUAAAAUUACUAACGGGCACUAGGAAACAACACAUGCACACACUCCACACAGAAAUAGGAAAUCUGUUUGUUUCUUCAUCACAGUGAAGUGUGGGAGGAAUGUUAAUUUAAACUACAUCUUCAUCAAUUUACAACUAUCACAGAUUCCUUUUAGGCCAUCAGUGUAAUGCUACAGGGUGAUUCCCUAGCAUUUUAUUCUAAAACCCACAAGUGAGCCGAUAAUGUGACCAGCUGCAGCUCCCUUCCUGAAUUCAGCAGCUCUGGGUGUCCACACACUUGCAGCUCUGUACAACUUCACACAAAAGCCUGGCAAUCAGCCAAGAAGACUCCAUCAUAGUGUAUACUCCCCAAGGUUCAAGAUUUUCCAUUUAAUUCCAAUUCCACCAUGAAACGACAUAUACUUUAGCAGACUAUAGUGAAAUAAAACCAAUUCAAUUCCUAUUUCUAGUUAAUAAAAUAUGCCCAUAAAUUGUAAUGUAUAAAGAUAUUAAAAUAUAUAAUCUACAUUUUUAAAGGGCCUUGAAUAUAAUUCCACUCCAUUAAGAUAAUUCUUAAAAUUUUCUUUAAGAGUUAGUUUCCUCAGAAUCUUACCAACAGCAAGAAAACAAUGGCAAACUUGUUAUAGCACAAAGCGAUUUAAUUGUAUUUCCAAAGUCCUCCAUUAAGCAAUUCACUCACAUUGCUAACUGAAAAUCAAGAAUCAAUGUUCUCAGUAUCUGGUACUAUAGGAUGAUGUGACCCAUGACAAUGUGAGACAGAUAUUUCAAGAAUUACAUUAAUUUCUGUUGUCUAAAGCAGAAAUACAAACACACAGAAACACACACUUCUGCAAAUUACGUAGCUGCAUCACUCUAGUAUGUAAGUUUCCUGAGGGAAAGGGGGGAAAAAAAAACCUGAGGGAAAGGGGAAUGCAAACGCUUUAACUGCCUGGCUAACACUUAACUUUGGUAGGAGUGUUUCACAACAGCAAAUAACAAUAAACUGAGCACUAACCUUUGUGUGAAAAUCUUGGGAAGAUUUUCAUUUUUACUGAAAUCUUCACCUACCUCUAGCUUCUCUCUCUCCAGGUCUGGAAACCUUCCACACAAAGGAUCACUAAAAACAGUAGUGAUCUGAAUGCAUAACCCUUAAGAUGUCUAUUCAAUAGCCAAAAUUUAACGGUGUUGAACCUGUAAAAAUGUAAAAGACCCUUUGGGAGGCCGAGGCAGGCGGGUCACGAGGUCAAGAGAUCGAGACCAUCCUGGCUAACACGGUGAAACCCUGUCUCUACUAAAAAUACAAAAAAAUUAGCCGGGAGUGGUGGCGGGCGCCUGUAGUCCCAGCUACUCAGGAGGCUGAGGCAGGAGAAUGGCUUGAACCUGGGAGGCGGAGCUUGCAGUGAGCCGAGAUCGGCCACUGCACUCCAGUCUGGGCGACAGAGCAAGACUCUGUUUCAAAAAAAAAAAGUAAAAGACCUGGCAAACCACUGACCCUUUCUUCUUCCUUUUGAUGGGCACCUUCCUAUGAUACAAUUAUCGACUAAGGACAAUGUGGAAAGGAUUCUCACACCAUUUCAGUAGAAAGUAAAUUAAAAUUGUUAUCUGGACUUCUCUAAAUCCCCAUUAAUGCCUUCAUGUAACAUUCAAGGGCUGUCUGGCAAUAAAAAAUAUCUCCAAAGUCAUCUUUUAAAUGGCUUAUAUCCCCCGCUUUAACGUCAACAACGUUUUGAAUCAAGGGAAAGCUGAUUAAAACAAGAAUUGUUCAUCAUAAUUUACUAGUCACAGAAAGAAAUUUGCUUCACACCAAAGUUAAAACUGCAAAAUAUACUUUCUGAGCAUAACCAAAUGGAUAUGGAUCAUUAAGCAUCGCUCACAACCUAAAUAACCUAGUUCUAAGUAGUCACAAAAAUAGAUACCUACUUUGUCAUUUACAUGAAACAGACAUGAAUAUUAUAUUACAAAGAGGGAACAGAACCCGCUGCCAACCUCUUUUUAAAGGAUACUAACAAAAAAAAAAAAAAAAAAAAAAAA